AGCCAUGCAGUCGAAUGGGAUACCUAAAUUUCCCAUGGCGAACUGCUCAGUAACACGUGAUCAACUUACCCUGUGGAGAGAAAUAACUUCGGGAAACUGAAGAUAAUUCCUCAUAAUUGAGAAUGCUUGGAAAGGUUUCUCAAUAAAAGAACAUUUCAAAUGGGAAAUGUAUCGCCGCAGGAUAGGAUCGCGUCCGAUUAUGGCAGUUGGUGAGGUAAUGGCUCACCAAACCUAUUAUCGGUAAGGGCCGUGAGAGCGGAAGCCCUGAGAUGGGUACUGAGACAAUGACCCAGGUCUUACGAGACGCAGCAGGCGCGAAACCUUCACAAUGCACGAAAGUGAGAUGAGGUUACCCGGAGUGCUACAAAGUAGCUGUGGCAGGUGAGUAAGAUUCCCUGCUAGGAAGGAGAGGGCAAGGCUGGUGCCAGCCGCCGCGGUAAAACCAGCUCUUCAAGUGGUCGGGAUUAUUAUUGGGCUUAAAGUGUUCGUAGCCUGUUUAGUAAGUUCCUGGUUAAAUCGGAUAGCUUAACUAUCUGUCUGCUAGGAAUACUACUAUACUAGGGGGCGGGAGAGGUCUGAGGUACUCCAGGGGUAGCGGUGAAAUGCUAUAAUCCUUGGGGGACCACCAGUGGCGAAGGCGUCAGACUGGAACGCGCCCGACGGUGAGGGACGAAAGCCAGGGGAGCGAACCGGAUUAGAUACCCGGGUAGUCCUGGCCGUAAACGAUG
rnacentral:rRNA from 1 species